ACACUGAUUACACGUCACAUGACUGAUGAUGAUAGCCGUCAUGGCAUGUUGUUAAAAUUUUAUUCGGGUGUUCUUUUUUUAGAGACUCUCAUACACCAACCAAUCAGCUGAUUCUCAAUACAAACUGCAAAUUAAUAUUAUAGCAAGUGCUGCUUGACAAUCUUUCACCAUCAAGCAUAUAACAUUAACAUAAAAAUAGUUUAUAUAGAAUAUAUUUUUUUUUAAAUCCUAAAUGUGUUACCAGGACUAGUUUUUUUAAAAUAUAUUAUUUGAUAUUAAGGAUUACACCAUGCUUCUCUUGAAUUCUGGAUUGUGAUUGGUCAGAAGGUAUUGAUUAUUUUUCUAUAACAGACAGUAAUGUAGCUGCCAAAUGCAGGAUUAUGUUAAUUUGCUUGGUCUAAUAAGUUAUUGUUUCUAUAGUAACUGCUCCUUCAUAGGGGCUUAUGAGGUUUUUAAAAAAAAUUUUUAAAAAAAUUUAAAUGUUGAUAUGGUGACGUUUUAUGGACAGAAGUUUUAUGGAAGGAGUCUCCAGUGUCAGUGCUUUGUAACAGUCAGAGGUAAAGCUGAAGUUUUCUGACAUCUUCAGAACAGAGGAGUUUACACUCUGCGGUUUUUCAGUAACAUGACAAACUGCGGGGGGGUUUUGUACUUAUUGAAUUUGAAGAGAGAGAAAAAAGUGGCUGGUGAGGGAACGGCUGUUUAUAGCUGCUAUAACGUAAAUGAGAAUAGGAACUAACUUGUUUCAUGGAUGUUAAACAACAUUACAUGUUAUGCUCAUGUUCAUAGAUGGUUUGUUAGCUUUAUGAAAAAGUCUGCACUGACUGUAAACAUGGCAUGUGAGAUUAUGCUGAUGUGAGUAAAGUGUCACAAUGUGUGUACUGACACAGAUUUAUUCUGCUGGCAUGUCUUUUUCCCCAGCGUUACAGUCCCAGAGCAAAUAUCAUUAUAUUACUUGUAAUAAAUGGUUUUGAAACAGUGAA